UACGAAGGGGGCUAGCGUUGUUCGGAAUCACUGGGCGUAAAGCGCACGUAGGCGGAUCGUUAAGUCGGGGGUGAAAUCCCAGGGCUCAACCCUGGAACUGCCUUCGAUACUGGCGAUCUUCGAGUCCGGGAGAGGUGAGUGGAACUCCGAGUGUAGAGGUGAAAUUCGUAGAUAUUCGGUAAGAACACCAGUGGCGAAGGCGGCUCACUGGCCCGGUACUGACGCUGAGGUGCGGAAAGCGUGGGGAGCAAACAGG
rnacentral:rRNA from 1 species